rnacentral:lncRNA from 1 species
UUAUCUAGAUAUUUUAAUCUGAAAUAAUUAUAAUUAUCUGAAUUAUCUGAAAUAACCUAAUUACCUGAUAUUUUGUCUGAAAUAUCUAAACUAAUAUGAAUUACCUAAUAUUCAAUCAAAAACAAAAUUAAUCGAAUUUUCCAAAAUCAUCCAAAAAAUCAGAAUCAAAUUAGACCAAAAAACUAUAGAUUGGCCGGUUCUCGAUAUAGUUAUCCAAAACCAACGAAAAACUAAAAUAAUCAAACCAAAAUUUAUUAAAUAAUCAAACAAUUUAUAUAUCUCGAAAACCAAAAAAAAAAAUCAAACCAAAAACCGAAUGUCCUCUCCUAGUUGACUGUAGAAUAUUCCUAAGUCAAGCUUGAUUAAUUUAUUGCUCAUCUCUUUUCCAGGUUGUGUUAAUGACGUGAUAGUAACUUCGAACAUAUACCAAAAUACAGAUCACCUGUUUGAUUAGUGUGGUUGCUGCCAAAAAUAAAAGAAAAAGACAAGUGUGGUCCAAACUUAAGUUGGGCUUUCGAACUUAUGGCAGUGCCCG